CAGUAGCCGCGGGAAUACGUAUGUCACAAGCGUUAUCCGGAUUUAUUGGGCGUAAAGCGCGUCUAGGUGGUUAUGUAAGUCUGAUGUGAAAAUGCAGGGCUCAACUCUGUAUUGCGUUGGAAACUGUGUAACUAGAGUACUGGAGAGGUAAGCGGAACUACAAGUGUAGAGGUGAAAUUCGUAGAUAUUUGUAGGAAUGCCGAUGGGGAAGCCAGCUUACUGGACAGAUACUGACGCUAAAGCGCGAAAGCGUGGGUAGCAAACAGGAUUAGAUACCCGUGUAGUCCCUGUCUCUUAUACA
rnacentral:rRNA from 1 species